GCGAUCCCAGGUCAGGCGGGGCUACCCGCUGAGUUUAAGCAUAUCAAUAAGCGGAGGAAAAGAAACUAACGAGGAUUCCCUUAGUAGCKGCGAGCGAACCGGGAGGAGCCCAGCAUGAAAAUCGUUCGCCGUCGGCGGCCGAAUUGUAGUCUGGAGAAGCGUCCUCAGUGACGGACCGGRCCCAAGUUCACUGGAAGGUGGCGCCGAGGAGGGUGAGAGCCCCGUCGUGCCCGGACCC
rnacentral:rRNA from 1 species